GACCUGGCUCAGGACGAACGCUGGCGGCGUGCCUAAUACAUGCAAGUCGAGCGAAGUUUUUCUGGUGCUUGCACCGGAAAAACUUAGCGGCGAACGGGUGAGUAACGCGUAAAGAACCUGCCUCAUAGACUGGGACAACUAUUGGAAACGAUAGCUAAUACCGGAUAACAGCAUUAACUGCAUGGUUGAUGUUUAAAAGUUGGUUUUGCUAACACUAUGAGAUGGCUUUGCGGUGCAUUAGCUAGUUGGG
rnacentral:rRNA from 1 species